GUUUUGGAGUGCAGGCGUGAAUAGUCCUUUCUGUCCUGCUUUGAGUACUGCUGUUGGGUGCCUUGGGGGGACCUUAAGGGAGCUCGGAAGUUGAGACGUGGUGAGUGCGAGAUCACUGCCCACAAAGGGGAGGAGCAGGCGGAUGAACAGCCAGAGCUGCAAUGGUGGAUCCUCCUCCAGGGCUGCAUGGGACGACAGAUAGAUGAGGCUCUAGGACGGGCACAAAUGCUACCCGAAUGCAAACCACUCCGGAGAUCUGUAAAAGGACUGGCCCCGGACAGGAAGCACACUUUAAACUAGAGGCGGGGUAAGACUCGUGGGCCAAUCAAGGCUUCCGAACAGAACUGCCAUUCUGGCAAUGAGGCGGGGUCUUCCGGUUGCCUGCUGGAAGUUUGUUUUUGCUCUGCAGGAUUGAAGGGUUCUCCCUAUGCUGCUUUGAGCGCUGCUAUUGGGUGCCUUGAGGGGACCUCAAGUAAGCUCCAUUUUUGAAACAUGAUCUUCAUCCACAUCUUGAAGUUUGAAGUUUGGCCAAGAAUAUACAAAAUAGAUUCUCUUUCUCAGGAUGGCAAGUGUUCAUGACAUCAAUACUACCCAAGGCUUCAGAGUCAUUGGAUUGCAGGAUGCAGUGACUUAUGAUGAUGUGCGUGUGAACUUCACUGAGGAAGAGUGGGAUUUGCUGGAUCCUUCCCAGAAAAGUCUCUAUGAAGAGGUGAUGCUAGAGACAUACCAGAACAUCACUGCUAUAGGUAAGACUGAAUUUCCUCUUGCUUUUCUGAAUAAGGGACAAAUAUUUCUUUGUUAUUGAUCCUCUGUUGUUUCAAUUGAAGAGGAGGAAGAAUGAGCUUUCCUCUAUGUUUUAAAUUCAGAACUAUUCCAUCCAUCUUUUGGCAGAAUCAGAGCGCUCGGUGAAGAUUCUGUGAGGGUUCAUUGUAUAAUUUAUGAUGAUGAAGAUUGAGUUGCAUUUUGGGGAAAAGAGAUGUUGAGAUAUCUAAGGCAUUGAGAAAUCUGUCAGGCAGAGAUGCACACAGGGAGAGGGAGUACCCAAACUGAUGAGAAGUUACAGGAAUUGGACCAUCUAAGACCUUAGAAAGUGAAGUCCAAAGUGUCUCAAACAAAGAUCUUCAUCCACAUCUUGAAGUUUGAAGUUUGGCCAAGAAUAUACAGAGUAGAUUCUCUUUCUCAGGAUGGCAUGUGUUCAUGACAUCAAUACUACCCAAGGCUUCAGAGUCAUUGGAUUGCAGUGAUGUCAGGAUUAUGCUUUGUGUUGUCCAAAUCUAUGGGAUAUUUUAGGAUGCAGUGACUUAUGAUGAUGUGCGUGUGAACUUCACUGAGGAAGAGUGGGAUUUGCUGGAUCCUUCCCAGAAAAGUCUUUAUGAAGAGGUGAUGCUGGAGACCUACCAGAACAUCACUGCUAUAGGACAGGCAUGAAAGAAUUCAUAUUGGAGAGAAACCGUAUGAACGUAACCAAUGUGGUAAAGCCUUUGCAAGUGACAAUCAUCUCCAAAUACAUAAAAGAACAAAUACUGGAGAGAAACCUUAUGAAUGUAAUCAAUGUGGUAAAGCCUUUUCACAAGGGAGUACUCUCCAAUAUCAUAUUAGAAGACAUAAUGGAGAGAAACCCUAUAAAUGUAAUCAGUGUGGUAAAGCCUAUGGACAUCACAGUAGUCUGCAAUAUCAUAAAAGAACACAUACUGGAGAGAAACCUUAUCAAUGUAAUCAAUGUGAUAAAGCAUUUUCACAACACAGUAGUCUUGAAUAUCAUAAAAUAACACAUACUGGAGAGAAACCUUAUGAGUGUGAUCAAUGUGGUAAAGCCUUUGCAUGGCAGUCUAGUCUCAAUAUACAUAAAAGAACACAUUCUGGAGAAAAACCUCAUGAGUGUAAUCAAUGUGGUAAAGCCUUUGUACAUCACAAUAGUCUCCAAUGUCAUAAAAGAACGCAUACUGGAGAGAAACCUUAUCAGUGUGAUCAGUGUGGUAAAGCAUUUACACAUCAAAAUAAUCUACAGUGUCAUAAAAGAACACAUACUGGAGAGAAACCUUAUGAAUGCAAUCAAUGUGGUAAAGCAUUUGCAAGACACAGUCAUCUCCAAGUACAUGAAAGAACACAUUUUAGAAAAACACCUUAGAAUGCAAUCACUGUUGUAAAGACUUUGGAUGUAAGACUAAUCUCCAAAGACAUAAAAGAACAUAUACUGGACAGAAACCUUAUGAAUGUAAUCAAUGUGGUAAAGCCUUUGCAACUCACAGUCAUCUACAAUGACAUAAAAGAACACAGAGGAGAGAAACCUGGUUAUUGUUUACAUAUGGACAUAAGGAGAUACAAGUAUGUAUCAAAUUGACAAGGGAUGGAUUGUGAUUGCUGCUCUUGGUUUUCAAUAUAAGAUCUAAAGUGGAAAGCAUAGGUCCAGGCAUGGUGGUACAUGCCCUUGAACCCUAGGAGAUGAGCAUCAAGCAGAUCUCUGAGUUCAAGUCCAUCCUGAUACAGAGCAAGUUAAAGGUGAAGAAAUUCUUAGGUCUAGGCCUGUGGAUACAGAGCCUUGCAGAUUUCUGAGUUCAAGGUCAAUAUAUAGAGCAAGUUCAAGGACAGCCAAGCUGAGGAAGUAAAGGAGUUGGAGAACAGAAAACUGGUGAUAAUGUAAUAGAAGAGGCCAUUUCCCAGGCCCAGAAAGCAGCAGAACUCAGCAGCUUUGACCAUGUGGCUCUGACUUUAGAGGUAAGAAUAGAAGGGACUACUGGGAAAAUUGAAGCUUGUAAGCUGUGGCUGAGAAAUUAGAAGUGAUGAAGAAGAGACCAGCAUCAUUGAGGUGAAAUCUUCUAGGAACUGUUUUCUGAGAGGACAAAGAAACUGUGUUCCAGAGAGAGCCAGGAUUGUACCUUGUGUUGCAGCUGAACUUUGUAGUCUCCCCUCCCCCAGCCUGAAACCUGCUUGCUCAGGGGUGGAGCUUCCUGCUCAUUCGUUCUGCCACGCCCACUGCUGGAACCUGCAGAGCAACAUGUGUGCUCACCUUUCUACUGGACCAGAGAUUAUUCGGCGGGAAUCGGGUCUCCUCCCCCUUCCUUCAUAACUAGUGUUGCAACAAUAAAAUUUGAGCUUUGAUCAGAAUAACUGUCUUGGCUACAUUUCUUUCUCUCUCGCCACCUAGCCCCUCUUCUCUUCUAGGUUUCCAAAAUGCCUUUCCAGGCUAGAACCCAGGUUGUGGUCUGCUGGCCGGACACAACAGAACUUGGUCACAUGUAAGAAUCAUCCAGGUGGUACUGGUUUUGAAGGCAUGACAGUGUCAUGAGGAGCAACUGAGGCUUGGUCCAGUGAAGGGAGCAUAAGUGAGACUAUCAGUGAAGCCUAGUUGCAGGAGAAGAACCCAACAUAUUGAAGAUGCCAGUCCAAUGGGAUGAGCAGAAAGAACAGCCCAGUAGAGCGGAGUCAACCAGAGCUUAGAGUGAUACAGAGGUCAGAGCUAGAGAAGUGACCUUAUCUCUCUGGAGGACUGCAGAAGAUCAUGUGUGGAUCCAAGACAUUGGAACAAGAAACUGAGGUUUCCUUCGAGACCCCAAGAUCUUUGAGAUGUCAGAGCUGUGGGGUACCUGCUCAGGAAAACCAGCCAAAGAGAAAGAAUUGUGCUGCAGUGAAUACAGCAGAAAGGAGUUGGAGAUCUGAAGAAUGCUUUAACAUCACUCAUGGAGAUGCAGUUUGGAGAUUUCCAAGCUGGCUUUUGGUUUUGUUUUGGUCCACUAUUUCCUCAUGAUGACAUUUAGGAAUGGUAAAGUCUAUGUUUUGAAGUGGUAGUAUAUGAUCUGCUUUUAGAUUUUCUUUUUUAGGGGAUUACAGUUACAUUGAAUGAAUCUCAGAAGAGACUUUGACCUUUGGACUUUUAACAUUUUUGAGACUGGUAUAGAUGAUGGGGACUUUUGCAGUAGGACCUCGUGUAUUUUUCAUUAUGCAUGUUUAAGUAUGGUCCUCAUACAUUCCUGUACUCCAACAUGCUUAUGGGGGCCAGUGAGUGGAAUGUGGGAGUUUGAAUAUGCUUGUGACAGGGAGUGACUCUAUUCAGAGGUGUGACCUUGUUGGAGGAAGUGGAUAUCUCUGGGGGUGGACUCUGAAGCUCCACCAAGUGCAAAACAGACCCUCCUAUUCCCUCCCUGGAAGACAGUUUCUUCCUGGCUGCCUUUGGAUCAAAAUGCAGAACUCUCAGCUCCUUCUCCAGCAUCAUGUCUGCCUGCAUGCUGCUGCUGUGCUUCCUGCUAUGAUGAAAAUGGACUAAACCUCUGAAACUGUAAGCCAGCCCCAAUUAAAGGUUUGCUUUUAUGAGAGUUGCCUUGGUCAUGAUGUCUAUUCCUAGCAAUGGAAACACUAAGACAGAAACCUUGGGAAUGUAUUUAAUAUGGUGAAGCCUUUGCACAAUUCUGUAGGCUUCAUCAUCAUGAAAGAAUAUGUACUGGAGCCAGACAGUGGUGGUGCAUUCCUUUAAUCCCAGCACUUGGGAGGAAGAUGCAGGAGGACCUCUGAGUUCUCGGCCAGCCUGGUCUACAAAGUGAGUUCCAGGACAGCCUGUGCUAUAGAGAGAAACCCUGUCUUGAAAAACCAAAACACAACAAAAGAGUAUGUACUGGAGAGAAACCUUUUGAAUGUACUUACUAUGGUUAAGCUUCUUCCUACGGUUAAGAAGGAAUGACUUUGACAGAUAAAGUUCUCAUUCUCUGUCUUUAGAACCUGAGCAUCACCCAGGAGUUCAUGACAAGCCCAUUCUUGGACCCUGUCUACAUGUGUUAAAUCAGAAGUUUUGCUCUCAGUAUAUGACCUCUAGAAAAAUAAUUAAAGGUGGCCCCUGAACUCUAUAUUUCUGACUCUCCAGUUACUACUAAUCUAUCUUUCAAGCAGAGGCCCCAUGUCCUUGAGCUCUCUUUGGGAGCAGAGGUGAUCAGAAAGGUAGUCAAGGGCUCUGAAGCCCCUCAGGCACAUGUGAGGUUUCAGGCAACACCAGCCCCACUGAAGCACACACACAAAAUCGUGUUGAGGAUUAAUCUAAUGUCUGCUCUCUGACUCAGCGUUUGCAACACAGCAGGUAGAACUUGCCAUAUCCACCCAACAAACCCCAUACACAUCUAGGAAACUUCUACAGCUCAGAAACUCCUGUUGCACCUGAAAUUGGAUUUCCCAGAAUCGUGGCCGGUUCAAUGGUGG
rnacentral:lncRNA from 1 species